rnacentral:lncRNA from 1 species
GGAGCCAAAAGGGAUCCUUUCUCUUCCCAAGUGUUGCAAAAGCACGGCUAGACAUGUUUUAUGAUGAAGCAGACAGGGACCAGCAAUGAGGACUGGUGCUUCUGGGCAGGCAGUGCAGUCAGCAGGAGAGCAAAGCUUUGGGAGGAGUGGGGCAGGUGGAAAGAAGACACCAGAGACUGGAGAAAUCCUCACCAAAAUUGCCUUUGGAUGUGGCAGAGCAGCUCAGCUGGGAUUGGCCAAAAUAGUGAGGUACUCAGAGAGGAUCUUACAGAUGCUGGUUGAGGAAAUAUUUCCUUUGACACACUGGCACUGCCUUCUGAGAAACUACUCCAUUUCCAGCUCUUUAUGGCAUUUAAUAGCAAUGAACUGUGUCUUCUGUAUUAAUAAAUUAUGAUGUCACUUUGUUUUAUGGAUUAAGCAAUAUCCUCUUUGGUUAUUUAUAACACCAAACGGAUGAAAGAAAACUAGAAACAAAGUGGUUUCAGAUGCUUUCUGCACACAUAACUCUCAAGCUGCAUCCAUAAAGAGAGAUUAAGAUACAUUGUUCAGAAAAGGAAGAGGAAAAUAAACAAAAGGUGAAAAAAAAAAGAAAAUAAAUCAUCCUCCUCUAGUCAUGUUGUAUAGAGUACCAUGUUUUCACAGUUUCCCAAUAAGAUGUUUUGUCACUAUCAUUCCCUUUUUAAAAUAUCCUUACAAUAAUUUGCACUCACGGGCGUAUCUUGCCUCUCAAAACCACACUCAGUUAUAUUUAACCACAGCUUUGAGAAGGACAGGGUGUUCAAGGAUCAUCACCAAGGUCAAACCAGGAAGCAGUGGCAAAGCUGAGGGCCUGUUUAAAUGAUGGCCAUUUCAACAUCUAUCCUAAUAACAAUUAGAGUGAAAUUAAGUUAGAAUUUUCUUUUCCAUUAUGCCCAUCCAUUUCCCUGGUUCUAUCCCAAGGAUCUUUACUGUAGAUUUUCCCAGGAAAAUCCCUGGUUUAGCACCUGGAUUUGUGCUGGCAGCUGGAUUUAUGAUUGCUGUCUUCUCAAAG